rnacentral:rRNA from 1 species
CCUACGGGAGGCUGCAGUGAGGAAUAUUGGUCAAUGGCCGGAAGGCUGAACCAGCCAUGCCGCGUGAAGGUCAGUGCUCUAUGGGCGCUAAACUCCCUUUGUGCGGGAGCAAUAAUGGUCACGUGUGGCCAGACGAGAGUACCGUACGAAUAAGCAUCGGCUAACUCCGUUCCAGCAGCCGCGGUAAUACGGGGGAGGCAAGCGUUAUCCGGAUUUAUUGGGUUUAAAGGGUGCGUAGGCUGUGAGGUAAGUCAGCGGUGAAAGUUUGCGGCUCAACCGUAAAAUUGCAGUUGAAACUGGCAGUCUUGAGUACGGUAGAGGUAGGCGGAAUUCGUGGUGUAGCGGUGAAAUGCUUAGAUAUCGCGAAGAACUCCGAUUGCGAAGGCAGCUCGCUGGACUGCAACUGACACUGAGGCUCGAAAGUGUGGGUAUCGAACAGGAUUAGAUACCCCAGUAGUC